CCUACGGGGGGCAGCAGUGGGGAAUCUUAGACAAUGGGGGCAACCCUGAUCUAGCCAUGCCGCGUGAGUGAUGAAGGCCCUAGGGUUGUAAAGCUCUUUCAGCUGGGAAGAUAAUGACGGUACCAGCAGAAGAAGCCCCGGCUAACUCCGUGCCAGCAGCCGCGGUAAUACGGAGGGGGCUAGCGUUGUUCGGAAUUACUGGGCGUAAAGCGCACGUAGGCGGACCGGAAAGUUGGGGGUGAAAUCCCGGGGCUCAACCCCGGAACUGCCUUCAAAACUAUCGGUCUGGAGUUCGAGAGAGGUGAGUGGAAUUCCGAGUGUAGAGGUGAAAUUCGUAGAUAUUCGGAGGAACACCAGUGGCGAAGGCGGCUCACUGGCUCGAUACUGACGCUGAGGUGCGAAAGCGUGGGGAGCAAACAGGAUUAGAUACCCCAGUAGU
rnacentral:rRNA from 1 species